UUUAGCGAGAGAUGCUUUAGUGCCUUCGGGAACUCUGAGACAGGUGCUGCAUGGCUGUCGUCAGCUCGUGUUGUGAAAUGUUGGGUUAAGUCCCGNAACGAGCGCAACCCUUAUCCUUGUUGCCAGCACGUAAUGGUGGGAACUCAAAGGAGACUGCCGGUGAUAAACCGGAGGAAGGUGGGGAUGACGUCAAGUCAUCAUGGCCCUUACGAGUAGGGCUACACACGUGCUACAAUGGCGCAUACAAAGAGAAGCGACCUCGCGAGAGCAAGCGGACCUCAUAAAGUGCGUCGUAGUCCGGAUUGGAGUCUGCAACUCGACUCCAUGAAGUCGGAAUCGCUAGUAAUCGUAAAUCAGAAUGUUACGGUGAAUACGUUCCCGGGCCUUGUACACACCGCCCGUCACACCAUGGGAGUGGGUUGCAAAAGAAGUAGAUAGCUUAACCUUCGGGAGGGCGUUUACCACUUUGUGAUUCAUGACUGGGGUGAAGUCGUAACAAGGUAGGCGUAGUGCU
rnacentral:rRNA from 1 species